GUGGUAUCUGAAGCAACAGAAAUGAAAAAAGAGCUGAAAUUUCCCAAAGAAACACUAUAUAAGUAGAACAUUUGAAAUUUCUUUAGCUCCAAACUCCAUAUUGACUAAGUCUAAUAAAUCUUCCCUGUUAUGUUAUAACCUGUAAAUUACAAAAUUUUACUCUGCCUCAUUUGAAUAAAUGCCUCAUUUAAAUUAUUCUUGUACUGUUAUUGUAUUCCUACAUUUUUUGUUGUAAUUUUUGAUCAUUUCUACUUGCAUUUUCAGAAGGUUGCACAUUCUGAUAAUGUACUUGACCUUUUCAAUCAAAACAUGUUUGAGUAUUCAUUAAAUAUGUGUUUAAGAAGAUUAUUAACUAAUUCCACUGACAUGAGAAAGGCAGAAACAAAUGGCAGUUGACAAAAUGGCAAAUUUCGUAGUGGCAGAUUGAUGCAGGGGAUAGACUGAGUGGUGAUUCCUGAUAACAGUGAUGGAAGUGGCGGGAAAAUUGCAAACAACAAAUUAAUGAAUAAUGAAUUGACACUACUCACGGAUGUCUCUUUGCCCACAACAAUGUCGAAGUUCUGAAGGAUCUCAACUAUAGCCAGUUUCACAAGGACAAGAGCGAAUCUCAUUCCAAUGCAGUUGCGGGGCCCAGCUCCAAAAGGCAAAUAUAAGUAUG